CCUACGGGAGGCAGCAGUCGAGAAUCAUUCACAAUGGGGGAAACCCUGAUGGUGCGACGCCGCGUGGGGGAAUGAAGGUCUUCGGAUUGUAAACUCCUGUCAUGUGGGAGCAAAUUAAAAAGAUAGUACCACAAGAGGAAGAGACGGCUAACUCUGUGCCAGCAGCCGCGGUAAUACAGAGGUCUCAAGCGUUGUUCGGAAUCACUGGGCGUAAAGCGUGCGUAGGCUGUUUCGUAAGUCGGUUGUGAAAGGGGCGGGCUCAACCCGCGGACGGCACGUGAUACUGCGAGACUAGAGUAAUGGAGGGGGAACCGGAAUUCUCGGUGUAGCAGUGAAAUGCGUAGAUAUCGGGAGGAACACUCGUGGCGAAGGCGGGUUCCUGGACAUUAACUGACGCUGAGGCACGAAGGCCAGGGGAGCGAAAGGGAUUAGAUACCCCUGUAGUC
rnacentral:rRNA from 1 species